ensembl:lncRNA
AGAAGCUACAGUAUUGAGAUUAAGAAAUCAAAUAUUCUGUAAAAUGUAAAUACACUGAACUCAUUUGGAUAUAUUUAAGUCAGACUCUAGAAUAUUAUUUGACACAAAUCUAUCUAAAUCAAAAUUUUAAUCAUUUUUACUCCAAACAUUUACUGGACUGAUUUAAAUAUUAAAAUCACUCCUUUCUAAUCCUCUGCUGUAUGUUCAAACCUGAGGCCUUAAAUAGAAACACACAAGUAUCUGUUUGAAGGAACUUCUGCAGAGUCCUGGUUCCAGAACAUGAUGAUAGAAUUAUAGACAAACUUCAACAAAAGCUGCCUGAGAGUUUACAGGUUUUCAGGUUUUCUUCAGUAAUUUAAUGAGCGUUAUCAGCAAUAAUCAAGUGUUCAUUUGAUGAACUUCAUUUCCUAAAACAUCCAGAAUUGGAGCUCAUAUCUUUGGCAGCUGUAAAGUUUCUGCUCCUUCAAAGUUCACAACACAAUGAAUUAAUUCCUAAAACACUCUCAAUGCUGGAGAACGUUUGUGAUGCUGAAGCAGUGACCAGUUUUUCUGUUUCUUCUCUGGAGAUGCACAAUGAGGGACGUCUGCAGAGACUGAGAAAGAGUCUCACCACAUCCUGACAUGAGGAAAAAGACUUUAUUGAAGACUACAAUGAGAAAAACUAUCAGACAGCAGACGGCUGCAUUCAAGUUUAGGCUGUUAGAUUGUUCCAGAUAAGACAAGUACAAGAUUCUUCAGAGCCGUUCUACCACGAGCCUGACAGGAAGAACUCCAACAGCUACUGAAUGUUCCUGUGGUUCCCUCAAGGCUACAGGAGGAGCCCUACGAGGACGAGCCGGUCCACCUGAUGGCGGCCAGUUGCUGCGGUUCAAAGCCAACACCGACUACGUGGACUUCUACUGGACCACACGGAGGCCUUCAAACCGGACCAACAAGUUCAUCGACUCCCCGACUCGUGGGUCUGAGGACGCCGCCGAGCCUCGGUCCAGCCGGCCUCCUGUCUGUGGGUGUUUGAGUGCUGAGAGGUUUGAGGAUGCAUGUGAACGUUCUGUGUUGAAACAGCAGCUUUGGACUCAGUAACGCUGGGAAAAACCAAGAGCUCCUUUAUUUGUCACUUCCACUAAAAAAACUGAUGAAAAUAAGUUUGCCAGAGUUCUGACUGAUAACAGAUUAUUAAAUAAUGAAAAUAAUCAUUUAAAUAUUCCUUUAAACAAUCCUUUUAGGUCUACAUUUCCUUUACACUGACUUCUUGGUAUAUGUAUCAGUAUUUUGGGUGGAAUAUACCAUUAAGCCCAAUGUUCAAGGGUUUUUCUGGGAAUAUACCAUUAAACCAACCUUUUAGGUAAAUGUUCCAGGGUGUUGGGUAGAAUAUACCAUCAGAUAAACCUUUUAGGUCUACAUUGGAAGAUUUUAGAGUAGAAUAUUACUCCAAACCAUCCUUUAGGUCUACAUUUAAGGUGGAAUACUCCUUUCCACCAAGAUUUUUUGGUCUACAUUGAAGGAUUUUAGUUGGAAUAUUCCUUUGAACGAACUUUUUAAGUUUAUGUUAAAGGAUGUUGGGUGGAAUAUACCAUCAGACCAACCUCCAAGGUCUACAGUAGUGAUUUUUAGGUGGAAUAUAUCAUUAAACUCACCUUUUAGGUCUACAUUGGAGGAUUUUAGGUGGAAUUUUCUUUCAAACUAUCUUUUAGUCUACAUUUAAGGAUGUUUAGGAUG